rnacentral:rRNA from 1 species
UACGUAGGGGGCAAGCGUUGUUCGGAUUUACUGGGCGUAAAGGGCGCGUAGGCGGUCGUGACAAGUCACUUGUGAAAUCUCCGGGCUUAACUCGGAACGGUCAAGUGAUACUGUCGGACUAGAGUACAGAAGGGGCAACUGGAAUUCUCGGUGUAGCGGUGAAAUGCGUAGAUAUCAGGAGGAACACCCGAGGCGAAGGCGGCUCUCUGGGUCGGACCUGACGCUGAGGCGCGAAAGCGUGGGGAGCGAACGGG